rnacentral:rRNA from 1 species
GCCUAAUACAUGCAAGUCGAGCGAACGGACGAGAAGCUUGCUUCUCUGAUGUUAGCGGCGGACGGGUGAGUAACACGUGGAUAACCUACCUAUAAGACUGGGAUAACUUCGGGAAACCGGAGCUAAUACCGGAUAAUAUUUUGAACCGCAUGGUUCAAAAGUGAAAGACGGUCUUGCUGUCACUUAUAGAUGGAUCCGCGCUGCAUUAGCUAGUUGGUAAGGUAACGGCUUACCAAGGCAACGAUGCAUAGCCGACCUGAGAGGGUGAUCGGCCACACUGGAACUGAGACACGGUCCAGACUCCUACGGGAGGCAGCAGUAGGGAAUCUUCCGCAAUGGGCGAAAGCCUGACGGAGCAACGCCGCGUGAGUGAUGAAGGUCUUCGGAUCGUAAAACUCUGUUAUUAGGGAAGAACAUAUGUGUAAGUAACUGUGCACAUCUUGACGGUACCUAAUCAGAAAGCCACGGCUAACUACGUGCCAGCAGCCGCGGUAAUACGUAGGUGGCAAGCGUUAUCCGGAAUUAUUGGGCGUAAAGCGCGCGUAGGCGGUUUUUUAAGUCUGAUGUGAAAGCCCACGGCUCAACCGUGGAGGGUCAUUGGAAACUGGAAAACUUGAGUGCAGAAGAGGAAAGUGGAAUUCCAUGUGUAGCGGUGAAAUGCGCAGAGAUAUGGAGGAACACCAGUGGCGAAGGCGACUUUCUGGUCUGUAACUGACGCUGAUGUGCGAAAGCGUGGGGAUCAAACAGGAUUAGAUACCCUGGUAGUCCACGCCGUAAACGAUGAGUGCUAAGUGUUAGGGGGUUUCCGCCCCUUAGUGCUGCAGCUAACGCAUUAAGCACUCCGCCUGGGGAGUACGACCGCAAGGUUGAAACUCAAAGGAAUUGACGGGGACCCGCACAAGCGGUGGAGCAUGUGGUUUAAUUCGAAGCAACGCGAAGAACCUUACCAAAUCUUGACAUCCUUUGACAACUCUAGAGAUAGAGCCUUCCCCUUCGGGGGACAAAGUGACAGGUGGUGCAUGGUUGUCGUCAGCUCGUGUCGUGAGAUGUUGGGUUAAGUCCCGCAACGAGCGCAACCCUUAAGCUUAGUUGCCAUCAUUAAGUUGGGCACUCUAAGUUGACUGCCGGUGACAAACCGGAGGAAGGUGGGGAUGACGUCAAAUCAUCAUGCCCCUUAUGAUUUGGGCUACACACGUGCUACAAUGGACAAUACAAAGGGCAGCGAAACCGCGAGGUCAAGCAAAUCCCAUAAAGUUGUUCUCAGUUCGGAUUGUAGUCUGCAACUCGACUACAUGAAGCUGGAAUCGCUAGUAAUCGUAGAUCAGCAUGCUACGGUGAAUACGUUCCCGGGUCUUGUACACACCGCCCGUCACACCACGAGAGUUUGUAACACCCGAAGCCGGUGGAGUAACCUUUUAGGAGCUAGCCGUUCGAAAG